CUGACACAAGGGCUGCAGGAGGCGCUGGACCGGGCGGAUCUGCUGAAGACCGAAAGGAGCGACCUGGAAUAUCAGCUGGAAAACAUUCAGGUUCUCUACUCACACGAGAAGGUGAAAAUGGAAGGCCUCUCUUGCUUUGGCUUCUCCUCGACUCUUAGGCGUGCCUCCACAACCAAGGCACACCCUAGGUAGGCUGAAAGGUAGACCUGUCCCCACCGCAGCAGGUGACCGUGUCUGUGUUUUAAGCCCACGCGUCCACAGUCCACGUCACUUCCCAGAUUAUAACCUGGUCUAAAUGCCGACUCCUUCCUGCUCGUCUCUAACCUAAGUGCUUUCUCCUCUGAACGCCUGUGACCCUCCACAUCCCGUGCCCUGCUGUUGUGUUUUAUGUGUUGCUUGGAGUCUUUGGGGUCAUGUUCCCUAUCCUGGUCCCCCUCCCAGGGCAGAUCUGACUGGCUGUUUGCUGAAGUUUUUGUCUCUUGGUCCACAAGUAUUUGGAAUGGUCACUGAUAGCUGGUCUCCAGUCUUGGCAUCUCAUUUAGGACCUCCACGAGAAAUGGGCACCUUGAGCCCUGACAGUGUAUAUUGCGUGUCUCAUCUGUGAAGUGCUUCCUGCUACAUAGAGCUAGCUCAGACUGUACAUAUUUACAAGAAACUUUAUAUUCGUAAAAA
rnacentral:lncRNA from 1 species